rnacentral:rRNA from 1 species
CGUAGGGUGCGAGCGUUAAUCGGAAUUACUGGGCGUAAAGCGUGCGCAGGCGGUUUUGUAAGCCAGAUGUGAAAGCCCCGGGCUUAACCUGGGAAUGGCAUUUGGGACUGCAAGGCUGGAGUGCGGCAGAGGAGACUGGAAUUCCUGGUGUAGCAGUGAAAUGCGUAGAUAUCAGGAGGAACACCGGUGGCGAAGGCAGGUCUCUGGGCUGACACUGACGCUCAUGCACGAAAGCGUGGGGGGCAAACAGGAUUAGAUACCCUGGUAGUCCACGCCCUAAACGAUGUCGACUGGUUGUUGGGGGUUUGACACUCUCAGUAACGAAGCUAACGCGUGAAGUCGACCGCCUGGGGAGUACGGCCGCAAGGUUA